UACUGAGUUCUCUGGUCAAUCUGAACUAUCAUCUUGGCACUGUUGAUGAACAAAUCUGCUGUUGGGACUACUACCUGGAUAUUGCAGGACAGAAAGCACUGCAAAGAAGACUUGGAUUUCCUCUGAGGACAGAUUCAGAAGAUCCUGCAGAAGGAAGUCCCCAAAAGGAUGAUAUAGUGAUAAGAGAGGAUUUCAGCCAUCAUGGAAAAAAGGAAAAAAAAAAAAAAAACACAAGAAAGAAAAGAAAGAGAUGAAGAACUCAGUCGUGUGGAUACAUCUAUGCCUGGGGGGGCUGGGGAAUGAAGUUUAACUAUGUACCUAUGAGGAAGAGAAAGUAAGUUUGAAGUUCCCUGGGCCACAACAGUGACCUGAGCGAUAGCAGUGAUGAUGCUGGAUCCUUAACCUGCUGAAUCACCAGCGAACUCCUCUUUGCAUGCUUUUAUUAGGAAUCAUCACAAGUCUUUAGAGAAAACUUUGGAGUGGGUUUUUAGUUCGGGGGCGGGGUGAUGUGUAGUUUUGUAGAAGGAUAGGGAUGUGUGGAAGGGUAAGGUAGAGAUGUCUUCCUAUUGAGUGCUAGAAGGGCAUGCACUUAAUAGUCACCAUGACUGUGGUCAUUGCCACAUGGCAUCACAUGCUUUUUUUUGGGGGGGGGAUUAUCAGAGCACUAAGAGUCCCAGGAGUAAAAGCACUAUUUUUCCUAUUUACUGAAUGGAAUUUUUGACCAGAAAUAGUUGGGUUUCACAGACAAGGAGUAGGUAAUUAAAAUAUCAUUAAAUGUAUUGGAUUUACUGAAAAGCGGAAAACAUAACCAUCAGUCACGUGAGUAAAGAGAACGUGCAUCUCUCACUUAUCACUUUAGGGGGAAAAAAAAGCAGCAGUAGGGCCAAUGUAUGAAUACUCAUCUCAACCUAAUUGGGGAAUUCCAAUGCUAAAAAAUCCCAAGAUGCUGCCUGAUUUUCAGAAAUACUUGCUAUAAGAGUCAAAUAUGGGAGAUAGAAACACUGUGCUAACUUAUCGAAUCUGCCCUAGAUACAUUCCCCAUGCUUCAUCUUAUUGACAGAGAAGUUAUUAAAAAAUCUAGGUUUCUAAUUUGCAUUCUAGGACUAUCAGAGUGAAGACCUGGGGGCACUUCUUCUUCAUGUGUUUAGCUUUGGGGACUUUGACUAUAGAAAUAAUUACUUAGAUAUUUAAUAGUGAAGGGAUAAGAGAGAAAUUCUGUGUGUCUAAUCCACAUUUUUGGUUCCUGGCAAGAAUUCAGUGAUUAAAGUUAAGAAGUCAAUACUGUGAUUAACAUUCUAUUUAAUGUGUCAGUCUUAGUAAUGUACUAUUUAAAAUAAUCUUUCUUUGUAAAAGUGCCUGCUAAGGAAAAUAUAUGUAUUUGGUUUGGGAUACAUGACCUUCUAGAAUAGUGGUGUGCUGGUAAAUAUUUAAUAACAGGAAAAAAAGUCCCUCUGUUUUGUAGCCAUUACUGAUUUCUAUGGUGUAAAUACUGAUUUCUACAGUAUAAAUACCAAAGCCUAUAACUACCUGACAUGAUAGCACAGUUAUAAAAUUUGUGAAAAAUUAUCAAUUGACUCUUGCAAAGUUGGUAUAAUUUGGAUCCAACACAUAGUUACCGAAAGAUAGUUUACUUGUUACUAGUUUUAUAUAUAAUCACUACAGCAGUAUUUUACAUAUAAUAUAUUACUUUGGAUAUAAACUGUAUAUGAUCAAAUGUGACAAAUUGCCUGCAUUAAAAAAAAAAAAGUCACUGAGUA
rnacentral:lncRNA from 1 species